UGAGAAUCUGCCUAAAGGACCGGGACAACCACUGGAAACGGUGGCUAAUACCGGAUGUGCCUGAAAGUGAAAGGGGAAACUCGCCUUUAGAGGAGCUCGCGUCUGAUUAGCUAGUUGGUAGGGUAAGAGCCUACCAAGGCGACAAUCAGUAGCUGGUCUGAGAGGAUGAUCAGCCACACUGGGACUGAGACACGGCCCAGACUCCUACGGGAGGCAGCAGUGGGGAAUUUUCCGCAAUGGGCGAAAGCCUGACGGAGCAAGACCGUGUGAGGGAGGAAGGCUCUUGGGUCGUAAACCUCUUUUGUCAGGGAAGAACACAAUGACGGUACCUGACGAAUCAGCCUCGGCUAACUCCGUGCCAGCAGCCGCGGUAAUACGGAGGAGGCAAGCGUUGUCCGGAAUUAUUGGGCGUAAAGCGUCCGUAGGUGGCUCUCUCAAGUCCGCGGUCAAAGACCGGGGCUCAACCCUGGAGAGGCCGUGGAAACUGGUGAGCUAGAGUGCGGUAGGGGCAGAGGGAAUUCCCAGUGUAGCGGUGAAAUGCGUAGAGAUUGGGAAGAACACCGGUGGCGAAAGCGCUCUGUUGGGCCGCAACUGACACUAAUGGACGAAGCUAGGGGAGCGAAUGGGAUUAGAUACCCCAGUAGUCCUAGCCGUA
rnacentral:rRNA from 1 species